rnacentral:rRNA from 1 species
AUUGAACGCUGGCGGCAGGCCUAACACAUGCAAGUCGAACGAGUGGCGGACGGGUGAGUAAUGUCUGGGCAACUGCCCGCUUGAGGGGGAUAACUAAUGGAACCGGUAGCUAAUACCGCAUACCCUCGGAUGUGCCCAGAUGGGCUUAGCUAGUAGGGGGGGUAACGGCUCACCUAGGCUACAAUCCCUAGCUGGUCUGAGAGGAUGACCAGCCACACUGGAACUGAGACACGGUCCAGACUCCUACGGGAGGCAGCAGUGGGGAAUAUUGCACAAUGGGCGCAAGCCUGAUGAAGCCAUGCCGCGUGUAUGAAGAAGGCCUUCGGGUUGUAAAGUACUUUCAGCGAGGAGGCGUUACUCGCAGAAGAAGCACCGGCUAACUACGUGCCAGCAGCCGCGGUAAUUC